GGGCCUGCGUUUCAUUAGCUAGUUGGUAGGGUAAUGGCCUACCAAGGCAACGAUGAGUAGCUGGUCUGAGAGGAUGAUCAGCCACACUGGAACUGAAACACGGUCCAGACUCCUACGGGAGGCAGCAGUGGGGAAUAUUGCGCAAUGGGCGAAAGCCUGACGCAGCAACGCCGUGUGAGGGAUGAAGGCUUUCGGGUCGUAAACCUCUGUCGGAAGGGAAGAACGGGCAUUGGUCUAAUAGGCCUUUGUUUUGACGGUACCUUUAGAGGAAGCACCGGCUAACUCCGUGCCAGCAGCCGCGGUAAUACGGAGGGUGCAAGCGUUAUUCGGAAUUACUGGGCGUAAAGCGCACGUAGGCCGCUUUGUAAGUCAGGGGUGAAAUCCCACGGCUCAACCGUGGAACUGCCUUUGAAACUGCAGAGCUUGAAUCCUGGAGAGGGUGGCGGAAUUCCUGGUGUAGGAGUGAAAUCCGUAGAUAUCAGGAGGAACACCGGUGGCGAAGGCGGCCACCUGGACAGGCAUUGACGCUGAGGUGCGAAAGUGUGGGGAGCAAACAGGAUUAGAUACCCUGGUAGUCCACACCGUAAACGAUGAACACUAGGUGUCGGAG
rnacentral:rRNA from 1 species